GCCCCUGUGCUCACCAUCACUCUUAGAGUGACAUAUGUCCUGAAAAUUGAUAUACACCAGUCAUGCUUGUGAAAUUAAAUUGCAAGAAAUAAGUUUGUGCUGAGGUUUACUUAGAGCCACUUCUAUUAGUUUCUCUGUUUUAUUAUGCUUCUGAACUUAUUUAUUGUUGUCUACAUUAGAGUGUCUCAUGAAUCAAAUUAUCUGGCAUGGUGUUUAGAACUAGACUGAAAUUGAUGAUCAACUGGAUGACGAGCAUGGGCAGUGGCACAACGGAUAUUCUAGUGAGUAAAAGAGAAGGCUUAUGGUUAACAAGAUCCAGAAGCUGGUCAGUGCUGGAAUUGUCUAGCUUAGUUUAACUUAGG
rnacentral:lncRNA from 1 species